AUGCUUAAGCGAAGGCACUAUAACAUCGGGGACGAUCACAACUUCUUGCUCUGUGUCCACAACGUUGAAGAAACUGUUGAACACAUGAUUUUCACUUGUGUUUUCAGCAAGCGGUGCUGGAGUAAGCUUGACAUCUUUUGGGACCCAUUCCCUGGCAGGCUCCAAGCUAUUCAAGACCAGAAGAAUAAACACCUGUCACCUUUGUUCCUGGAAAUGUUCAUUGUGGCGGCUUGGAGCAUCUGGAAGGAGAGGAACAAUCACCACUUCAGAGCUAUACCACCCUCCUUUCAGUCUUGGCUUGGGAGAUUCAAGAGAGACUUUGGGCUUUUACAAUACAGGGUGAAAGAGGCACAUAAGCCUUUGGUGCUUAAUAUUGUAAACUCUCUUUGA
rnacentral:rRNA from 1 species